AGUGAACGCUGGCGGUAGGCCUAACACAUGCAAGUCGAACGGCAGCACAGUAAGAGCUUGCUCUUACGGGUGGCGAGUGGCGGACGGGUGAGGAAUACAUCGGAAUCUACUUUUUCGUGGGGGAUAACGUAGGGAAACUUACGCUAAUACCGCAUACGACCUACGGGUGAAAGCAGGGGAUCUUCGGACCUUGCGCGAUUGAAUGAGCCGAUGUCAGAUUAGCUAGUUGGCGGGGUAAAGGCCCACCAAGGCGACGAUCCGUAGCUGGUCUGAGAGGAUGAUCAGCCACACUGGAACUGGGACACGGUCCAGACUCCUACGGGAGGCAGCAGUGGGGAAUAUUGGACAAUGGGCGCAAGCCUGAUCCAGCCAUACCGCGUGGGUGAAGAAGGCCUUCGGGUUGUAAAGCCCUUUUGUUGGGAAAGAAAAGCAGCAGGUUAAUACCCCGCUGUUCUGACGGUACCCAAAGAAUAAGCACCGGCUAACUUCGU
rnacentral:rRNA from 1 species